CCUACGGGAGGCAGCAGUGGGGGAUAUUGCACAAUGGGGGGAACCCUGAUGCAGCGACGCCGCGGGGGUGAAGAAGCGCCUCGGCGCGUAAAGCCCUGUCAGCAGGGAAGAAAAUGACGGUACCUGAAGAAGAAGCCCCGGCUAACUACGUGCCAGCAGCCGCGGUAAUACGUAGGGGGCAAGAGAUAUCCGGGUUUACUGGGUGUAACGGGGGCGCAGACGGCGAUGCAAGCCAGGAGUGAAAGCCCGGGGCCCAACCCCGGGACUGCUCUUGGAACUGCGUGGCUGGAGUGCAGGAGGGGCAGGCGGAAUUCCUGGUGUAGCGGUGAAAUGCGUAGAUAUCAGGAGGAACACCGGUGGCGAAGGCGGCCUGCUGGACUGCAACUGACGUUGAGGCCCGAAAGCGUGGGGAGCAAACAGGAUUAGAUACCCGGGUAGUC
rnacentral:rRNA from 1 species